AUGCCAGGGCACUUACAGGAAGGCUUCGGCUGACUGGUCACCAACCUAUUCGACCAGUUAUUUGACGACGAAUCGGACCCCUUCGAGGUGUUGAAGGCAGCGGAGAACAAGAAAAAAGAAGUUGGCGGUGGCGGCGUUGGGGGCCCUGGAGCCAAGAGCGCAGCUCAGGCCGCGGCGCAGACCAACUCCAACGCGGCAGGCAAGCAGCUGCGCAGAGUCCCAGAAAAACCGCAAGAACCCCCUGCCCCCCAGCGUUGAUGUGGUUGACAAGAAAGAGGAGACGCAGUCGCCCGUGGCGCCUAAGAAAGAAGGAAUAAGACAAGUUGGAAGAAGACCUGAUCAACAACUUCAGGGUGAAGGGAAAAUAAAUUGAUGGAAGACCAGAAAGGCGACCACCUCGUGAACGAAGAUUUGAAAAGCCACUUGAAGAAAAGGGUGAAGGGGGCGAAUUUUCAGUUGAUAGACCGAUUAUUGACCGACCUGUUCGAGGUCGUGGUGGUCUUGGGGGCUGUGGACGUGGAAUGGGCCUAGGAGAUGGAUUUGAUUCUCGUGGCAAACGUGAAUUUGACAGGCAUAGUGGAAGUGAUAGAUCUUUUUCACAUCACAGUGGCCUGAAGCACGAGGACAAAUGUGGAGGUAGCGGAUCUCACAACUGGGGAACUGUCAAAGACGAAUUAACUGACUUGGAUCAAUCAAAUGUGACUGAGGAAACACCUGAAGGUGAAGAACAUCAUCCAGAGGCAGACACUGAAAAUAAGGAGAAUGAAGUUGAAGAGGUAAAAGAGGAGGGUCCAAAAGAGAUGACUUUGGGUGAGUGGAAGGCUAUUCAAAAUAAGGACCGGGCAAAAGUAGAAUUUAAUAUCCGAAAACCAAAUGAAGGUGCAGAUGGGCAGUGGAAGAAGGGAUUUGUUCUUUAUAAAUCAAAGAGUGAAGAGGCUCAUGCUGAAUAUUCAGUUACGGACCAUCAUUUCCGGAAGCCAGCAAAUGAUAUAACAUCUCAGCUAGAGAUCAAUUUUGGAGAUCUUGGCCGCCCAGGACGUGGUGGCAGGGGAGGAUGAGGUGGACGUGGACGUGGUGGGCGCCCAAACCGUGGCAGCAGGACAGACAAGUCAAGUGCUUCUGCUCCUGAUGUGGAUGACCCAGAGGCAUUCCCAACUCUGGCUUAACUGGAUGCCAUAAGACAACCCUGGUUCCUUUGUGAACCCUUCUGUUCAAAGCUUUUGCAUGCUUAAGGAUUCCAAACGACUAAGAAAUUUAAAAAAAAAAAAAGAGAGAGAGAGAGAGAAAGAGAGACUGUCAUUCAUACCAUUCACACCUAAAGACUGAAUUUUAUCUGUUUUAAAAAUGAACUUCUCUCGCUACACAGAAGUAACAAAUAUGGUAGUCAGUUUUGUAUUUAGAAAUGUAUUGGUAGCAGGGAUGUUUUCAUAAUUUUCAGAGAUUAUGCAUUCUUCAUGAAUACUUUUGUAUUGCUGCUUGCAAAUAUGAUUUCCAAACUUGAAAUAUAGGUGUGAACAGUGUGUACCAGU